rnacentral:rRNA from 1 species
GUCUUUUUGAUUUUUAUUAAAAGUUUAACCUGCCCAUUGAAAAUUUUUAAAAGGCUGCAGUAUUUUGACUGUACAAAGGUAGCAUAAUCAUUAGUUUUUUAAUUGAAAACUUGUAUGAAUGGUUGAAUGAGAAAUUAACUUUUUUAAAAAAAUAAUUGAAUUUUACUUUUUAAUUAAAAGGUUAAAAUAAAUUUAAAAGACGAGAAGACCCUAUAGAGUUUUAUAAUUUUUAUUUAAUAUUUUAAAAAGAUAAAUUUAAAUUUUAUAAAAAAAAUUAUUUUGUUGGGGUGAUUAUAAAAUUUAAGAAACUUUUAUUUUUUUUUACAUUAAUAUAUGAUUUUAUGAACCAUUAUUUAAUGAUUAAAAAUUUAAAUUACCUUAGGGAUAACAGCGUAAUUUUUUUUUCAAGUUCAUAUUAAUAAAAAAUUUUGCGACCUCGAUGUUGGAUUAAGAUUUAAUUUUAGGUGCAGCAGU